UACGGAAGGCAGCAGUGGGGAAUAUUGCACAAUGGGCGAAAGCCUGAUGCAGCUAUGCCGCGUGUAUGAAGAAGGCCUUAGGGUUGUAAAGUACUUUCAUCGGGGAGGAAAAACAAAACUAAUAAUUUUAUUUCUUGACGUUACCCGAAAAAGAAGCACCGGCUAACUCCGUGCCAGCAGCCGCGGUAAUACGGAGGGUGCUAGCGUUAAUCAGAAUUACUGGGCGUAAAGAGCACGUAGGUGGUUUUUUUAAGUCAGAUGUGAAAUCCCUGGGCUUAACCUAGGAACUGCAUUUUGAAACUGAAAUACUAGAGUAUCGUAGAGGGAGGUAGAAUUCUAGGUGUAGCGGUGGAAAUGCGUAGAUAUCUGGAGGAAUACCUGUGGCGAAAGCGGCCUCCUAAACGAAAUACUGACACUGAGGUGCGAAAAGCGUGGGGAGCAAACAGGGAUUAGAUACC
rnacentral:rRNA from 1 species